rnacentral:rRNA from 1 species
GGAUGAACGCUGGCGGCGUGCCGUUAAACACAUUACAAGUCGAACGGAGUUGUUUGAAUUUAAUCCUUCGGGGAAGCGUUUAAACAACUUAGUGGCGGACGGGUGAGUAACGCGUGAGCAACCUGCCUUACAGGAGGGGGAUAACACAGGGAAACCUGUGCUAAUACCGCAUGACAUAUACGUAUCGCAUGUUAUGUAUAUCAAAGGAGCAAUCCGCUGAAAGAUGGGCUCGCGUCCGAUUAGAUAGUUGGUGAGGUAACGGCUCACCAAGUCGACGAUCGGUAGCCGGACUGAGAGGUUGAACGGCCACAUUGGGACUGAGACACGGCCCAGACUCCUACGGGAGGCAGCAGUGGGGAAUAUUGCACAAUGGGGGAAACCCUGAUGCAGCGACGCCGCGUGAGGGAAGAAGGUUUUCGGAUUGUAAACCUCUGUCUUUGGUGACGAUAAUGACGGUAGCCAAAGAGGAAGCUACGGCUAACUACGUG